CGGUGAGGUGGAAACGGAUAGAGUCGGCGUAUCAUUCUCAAUUAUUCAUUUACAUUAUUUUUAUGUUGUGAUCUCUGAGCUCCAGAUUGGGACAGAGGGAAUCAGCAUAAUUUUUUGUGGUGCAUUUACUUGAUUGGUGCUUGGGGAUGUUUGAGGCAGAUUUGUUUCCGUCGUUUUGAGGCCAGCUUGCUGGUACCCAAACGGUGUUAGCAUUUUUUGUCUUGGGCAUUUGAGUAUGGCUCACGGGCAUUUAUUGGACAGAUCUGAGUGUAAGUUACGGUCGCAUGCGACACGUGCUUUUCAAUUAGUUCGGUCCAGUUAAUGCUCUCGUACUCGUUCCCCAUGUAAAAGCCGGUCAUCUAUCCGACCCGUCUUGAAACACGGACCAAGGAGUUUAUCGUGUGCGCAAGUUUUUGGGUGUUAAAAACUUAAAAGCGAAAUGAAAGUAAAUGACUCUUUAGAGUCUGAUGUGCGAUCUUGUAAAAAAGUGCAGCAUGGCCCCAUUCUAACUGUUUACAGUAGGGUGGCGGAAGAGCGUACGCGGUGAGACCCGAAAGAUGGUGAACUAUUCCUGAGCAGGACGAAGCCAGAGGAAACUCUGGUGGAAGUCCGAAGCGGUUCUGACGUGCAAAUCGAUCGUCUGACUUGGGU
rnacentral:rRNA from 1 species